UACGCUUGUGGAGACGUCGC
rnacentral:snRNA from 1 species